GAUGAACGCUGGCGGCGUGCCUAAUACAUGCAAGUCGAGCGAACAGAUGAGAAGCUUGCUUCUCUGAUGUUAGCGGCGGACGGGUGAGUAACACGUGGGUAACCUACCUAUAAGACUGGGAUAACUCCGGGAAACCGGGGCUAAUACCGGAUAAUAUUUUGAACCGCAUGGUUCAAUAGUGAAAGACGGUUUCGGCUGUCACUUAUAGAUGGACCCGCGCCGUAUUAGCUAGUUGGUAAGGUAACGGCUUACCAAGGCGACGAUACGUAGCCGACCUGAGAGGGUGAUCCGCCACACGGGAACUGAGACACGGUCCAGACUCCUACGGGAGGCAGCAGUAGGGAAUCUUCCGCAAUGGGCGAAAGCCUGACGGAGCAACGCCGCGUGAGUGAUGAAGGUCUUCGGAUCGUAAAACUCUGUUGUUAGGGAAGAACAAAUUUGUUAGUAACUGAACAAGUCUUGACGGUACCUAACCAGAAAGCCACGGCUAACUACGUGCCAGCAGCCGCCGUAA
rnacentral:rRNA from 1 species